CGUUUGGACUUUUUAAAGUCCACUAAUUCUAUAAUUAAUUCUUUCU
rfam:Plasmodium fragile strain nilgiri unplaced genomic scaffold supercont1.2, whole genome shotgun sequence.